GGGUUUAUGGCAAAUGGGUUCGACCACAAUCAGCUUUGUACCUGGAGCAGACAUUAAAACAAAGAACAAUGGAGGAGGCUCUAUCAGUUGGAACUGAAGUUGAAGUCUACUGCUUGUAUUACAGAGGAUGGGUUCCUUCGACCAUAUUGGGGUCAGCCGGGAACCAAAUUGAGGUUGAGGCUUGGG